rfam:Ciona savignyi cont_30330, whole genome shotgun sequence.
GUCGUCGUGGCCGAGUGGUUAAGGCGACAGACUAGAAAUCUGUUGGGCUCUGCCCGCACAGGUUCUAAUCCUGUCGGUGACG